rnacentral:lncRNA from 1 species
UAUCAUGGUGAUGGGGGAGAUGUGCAGGAAGAUAGUGUAGAGCCUGAUGUUGAUCUACCUGCAGGACAUGUUGAGCAAGAAGAAGUAGGAGAGCAAGUUCCAACAGAACCUCAGUUGAGAAGAUCUUCUAGACAACGUCAACCUUCUAGAAGAUACUCUACAGAUGAGUAUGUGAUGCUUACUGAUGCAGGUGAACCAGAGAGUUACCAGGAAGCAGUUGAAAGUGAGCAGAA